rnacentral:rRNA from 1 species
UUUUGGACAAUGGGGGCAACCCUGAUCAGCAAUGCCGCGUGAGUGAAGAAGGCCUUCGGGUUGUAAAGCUCUUUUGUCAGGGAAGAAACAGCAGCUCUAACACAGUCUGCGAAUGACGGUACCUGAAGAAUAAGCACCGGCUAACUACGUGCCAGCAGCCGCGGUAAUACGUAGGGUGCGAGCGUUAAUCGGAAUUACUGGGCGUAAAGCGUGCGCAGGCGGUUAUACAAGACAGGCGUGAAAUCCCCGGGCUUAACCUGGGAAUGGCGCCUGUGACUGUAUAGCUAGAGUGUGUCAGAGGGGGGUAGAAUUCCACGUGUAGCAGUGAAAUGCGUAGAUAUGUGGAGGAACACCGAUGGCGAAGGCAGCCCCCUGGGUUAACACUGACGCUCAUGCACGAAA